UGGACAAUGGGGGGAACCCUGAUCCAGCCAUGCCGCGUGUGUGAAGAAGGCCUUUUGGUUGUAAAGCACUUUAAGCGAGGAGGAGGCUACUCUAGUUAAUACCUAGAGAUAGUGGACGUUACUCGCAGAAUAAGCACCGGCUAACUCUGUGCCAGCAGCCGCGGUAAUACAGAGGGUGCGAGCGUUAAUCGGAUUUACUGGGCGUAAAGCGUGCGUAGGCGGCUUUUUAAGUCGGAUGUGAAAUCCCUGAGCUUAACUUAGGAAUUGCAUUCGAUACUGGGAAGCUAGAGUAUGGGAGAGGAUGGUAGAAUUCCAGGUGUAGCGGUGAAAUGCGUAGAGAUCUGGAGGAAUACCGAUGGCGAAGGCAGCCAUCUGGCCUAAUACUGACGCUGAGGUACGAAAGCAUGGGGAGCAAACAGGAUUAGAUACCCUGGUAGUCCAUGCCGUAAACGAUGUCUACUAGCCGUUGGGGCCUUUGAGGCUUUAGUGGCGCAGCUAACGCGAUAAGUAGACCGCCUGGGGAG
rnacentral:rRNA from 1 species